rnacentral:lncRNA from 1 species
UUUGAGGGGUCCGAAUAGCAUUUAUCUUGGGAUUUCCUAGUAUCCUUGGCUUGCAUAAUUUUAUAAAAGUAAAAAUAAAAAUAAAAACGAAACAAAAUUAAAUAUUAGACUAAUAAAUAAAUAAACAACUAAAAUAAAAAAAUGCAAAUAAAACAAACAUAAGACGUAUAUAGAUAAAAGUAGAAAUAUCAAUGUAUAGAC